UACGUAGGUGGCGAGCGUUACUCGGAUUUACUAGGCGUAAAGCGCAUGUAGGUGUCCAGGUAAGUUUCUGGUUAAAUACUUCUGCUUAACAGAAGAACUGCCAGGAAAACUGCCUGGAUUGAGUGUGGGAGGAGGAGACGGAAUUCCCGGUGUAGCGGUGAAAUGCGUAGAGAUCGGGAAGAACACCGAUGGCGAAAGCGGUCUCCUGGCCCAAUACUGACGCUGAGAUGCGAAAGAUAGGGGAGCAAACAGG
rnacentral:rRNA from 1 species